rnacentral:rRNA from 1 species
GAUGAACGCUAGCGGCAGGCUUAACACAUGCAAGUCGAGGGGUAGAGGAAGCUUGCUUCCUUGAGACCGGCGCACGGGUGCGUAACGCGUAUGCAACCUACCUUUUACAGAGGGAUAGCCCAGAGAAAUUUGGAUUAAUACCUCAUGGUAUAUAUCAUUCGCAUGUUUGAUAUAUUAAAGUUCCAACGGUAAAAGAUGGGCAUGCGUCCUAUUAGCUAGAUGGUAAGGUAACGGCUUACCAUGGCAACGAUAGGUAGGGGUCCCGAGAGGGAGAUCCCCCCAACUGGUACUGAGACACGGACCAGACUCCUACGGGAGGCAGCAGUGAGGAAUAUUGGAAAAUGGGCGCAAGCCUGAUCCAGCCAUGCCGCGUGCAGGAAGAAGCAUCUAUGGUGUGUAAACUGCUUUUGUACGGGAAGAAACACUCCUUCGUGAAGGAGCUUGACGGUACCGUAAGAAUAAGGAUCGGCUAACUCCGUGCCAGCCGCCGCCGUAACAC